GACGAACGCUGGCGGCGUGCUUAACACAUGCCAGUCGAACGGAAAGACCCUGCUUUUGUGGGGUGCUCGAGUGGCGAACGGGUGAGUAACACGUGAGUAACCUGCCCUUGACUUUGGGAUAACUUCAGGAAACUGGGGCUAAUACCGGAUAGGAGCUCCUGCUGCAUGGUGGGGGUUGGAAAGUUUCGGCGGUUGGGGAUGGACUCGCGGCUUAUCAGCUUGUUGGUGGGGUAGUGGCUUACCAAGGCUUUGACGGGUAGCCGGCCUGAGAGGGUGACCGGCCACAUUGGGACUGAGAUACGGCCCAGACUCCUACGGGAGGCAGCAGUGGGGAAUAUUGCACAAUGGGCGGAAGCCUGAUGCAGCAACGCCGCGUGCGGGAUGACGGCCUUCGGGUGGUAAACCGCUUUCGCCUGUGACGAAGCGUGAGUGACGGUAAUGGGUAAAGAAGCACCGGCUAACUACGU
rnacentral:rRNA from 1 species